rnacentral:rRNA from 1 species
UGCCGCGUGUGUGAAGAAGGCCUUCGGGUUGUAAAGCACUUUCAGUAGGGAGGAAGGUAGUGUAGUUAACACCUGCACUAUUUGACGUUACCUACAGAAGAAGCACCGGCUAACUCCGUGCCAGCAGCCGCGGUAAUACGGAGGGUGCGAGCGUUAAUCGGAAUUACUGGGCGUAAAGCGCAUGCAGGCGGCCUGUUAAGUCAGAUGUGAAAGCCCGGGGCUUAACCUCGGAAUUGCAUUUGAAACUGGCAGGCUAGAGUCUUGUAGAGGGGGGUGGAAUUUCAGGUGUAGCGGUGAAAUGCGUAGAGAUCUGAAGGAAUAUCAAUGGCGAAGGCGGCCUCCUGGAUAAAGACUGACGCUCAGAUGCGAAAGCGUGGGGAGCAAACAGGAUUAGAUACCCUGGUAGUCCACGCCGUAAACGAUGUCUACUUGGAGGUUGUGGCCUUGAGCCGUGGCUUUCGGAGCUAACGCGUUAAGUAGACCGCCUGGGGAGUACGGUCGCAAGAUUAAAACUCAAAUGAAUUGACGGGGGCCCGCACAAGCGGUGGAGCAUGUGGUUUAAUUCGAUGCAACGCGAAGAACCUUACCUACUUUUGACAUCCAGAGAAGCUUGAAGAGAUUUGAGUGUGCCUUCGGGAACUCUGAGACAGGUGCUGCAUGGCUGUCGUCAGCUCGUGUUGUGAAAUGUUGGGUUAAGUC